AGUCUAGCAUGUGCGCGAGUCAUUGGGACUCAAUAAACCUAAAGGCGCAAUGAAAGUGAAAGUCUGUUUACGCGGACUUAGGGAGGAUAGGUGCGUACACUUGUGUACAACCUCGCACUCCCGGGGCGUCUCGCACUCAUUGCGAGGUGGGGCGCACCAAGAGCGUACACGCUGGGACCCGAAAGAUGGUGAACUAUGCCUGGUCAGGACGAAGUCAGGGGAAACCCUGAUGGAGGUCCGUAGCGAUUCUGACGUGCAAAUCGAUCGUCGGAACUGGGCUUAGGGGCGAAAGACUAAUCGAACCAUCUAGUAGCUGGUUCCCACCGAAGUUUCCCUCAGGAUAGCUGGCACUAGAUUAUGGAUGAGUCUCAUCCGGUAAAGCGAAUGAUUAGAGGCAUUGGGGUCGAAACGGCCUCAACCUAUUCUCAAACUUUAAAUGGGUGAGAUCUCCGGCUUGCUCGAUUUGUGAAGCCGGAGAUCGGAUCAAUUAGUGCCAAGUGGGCCACUUUUGGUAAGCAGAACUGGCGCUGUGGGAUGAACCAAACGCAGAGUUAAAGCGCCAAAAUCGACGCUUAUGGGAUACCAUGAAAGGCGUUGGUAACUUAAGACAGCA
rnacentral:rRNA from 1 species